rnacentral:rRNA from 1 species
UACAGAGGGGGCGAGCGUUGUUCGGAAUUACUGGGCGUAAAGGGCGCGUAGGCGGCCACCUCAGUCGGACGUGAAAUCCCCCGGGCUCAACCCGGGAACUGCGUCCGAUACUGGGUGGCUAGAGUCCGGGAGAGGGAAGUGGAAUUCCAGGUGUAGCGGUGAAAUGCGUAGAUAUCUGGAGGAACACCGGUGGCGAAGGCGGCUUCCUGGACCGGAACUGACGCUGAGGCGCGAAAGCCAGGGGAGCAAACGGG